rnacentral:tRNA from 1 species
UCCCUAGUAGCUCAGUUGGUAAAGAAUCUGCCUGCAAUGCAGGAGAUCCAGGUUUGAUUGCUGGGUUGGGAA